CGAUUAAGUUUACGCACUGACACUCCAACCGGGAUUAAGAGAUGAUUACAUUCAUAAUAUUCUGAUGGUAAAACAGUAAUUGGGACCACUUGACCAUCAUGAUGACAACGCCGCACUAAUGGAAAAUCCAAUCCAGGAAAUAGCAGAACGAUUUUGACGCCGGAAAACGCCUCUUUUGAACUCUACCAGUGGGUGUUCCGGUUGAUUUAGGAAUGGAGGAAUGUUUUGCUACCCAUCAUCAAGCUACACUCAAUUUGAUCGCAGACUGCUUACUGGUCGGGUCAGGUGUUGAUCGAGAUGAACCUACAAAUGAGAUGAGCUCGUUGGCUAACGAGAGGGCUUGUUCAAGAUCAAUGUGUCAGUUCGACAGCUGCUGCCCUGACUUAUAUUGGAACUGAUAACCGGGAGACCAUCGAAAAACUUUUCCGGCGCAAGGGGUUCCAGUCCAGCGAGUUCAACGAACACUGGAAGGAUUCUGUGGGCCAUCAUGAUUGAGGUUCUAAAACUGCACGGUGGUUUCAAGUCAAUGCUUGUAUCAAUGUUGUUGCAACAACUCACCUGAAAGAUAUCUUGGAUUCUGCUUUGCUUUGUUCGGAUCACUUAAAAAGAUUCAAUUUUGUAUCCGAACGAAUGUUCGAACUAGUAUGUAAGAGCCUGGCACUAUGGUCACUAUUCCAGGAGAAUUUAUUUGGCCGUCUCUUCGUUAAACGCAUCUGCCUCGUGAAAGCCAACGUUUCGGCUUAUUUCAGUUCCUCAUAAUUUGAGGUAUUGAGCAAUCAGAUUGGAAUAAGAGUAAAUAACGAGCCCCGAUUGAUAAACUGGAAUAGACUUCUUCGAACGACACGUUUUGUGGUGUUUAAUGUACCAUGUCAAUCUGGAAUUGGAUUCUGACUACCCAAAAGCAAGAAAAGAACGUUUUAAAAAUCCCAAUGCACCCAAGUUCUUAGGUCCAUCAAGACUUCGGAGAAUAUGGACUGUCCUCGAGCUGAAUUCAAAGACUUCAAACCCCAAAAUAUACGAACGAAUUGGACAAGUCAGUCGACUAAGCUUGGCAGCUCACAGCACACAUUGGAAACUGAAGCAGGUUACGUCCUCUACGCCGGUCAUGCCGCAGUUUCAACAGACGAGUCAAUAACAAAUGGAUGUAAAGAAUUCGAUCAUCGAUGUGUAUGCUGAUAGGAUUUGCUCAGCGCUUGUUAAUGAGAAAAACUAUGCUCCUGCUACAAAGUCAAUUCCUUGUGACCCUCAGUUUUCAGUUUCAGGAAACACAAUGAAAAGAUAUUUAAACAAGAAUGGAAAUAGAGAUACAAGGAAAUUAUUUUUGCUCAAAUAAUUUAAGGAAAGGUUUGUUUUAAGAAUUAAAUCUUAGAGUUUUAUCAUUUCUUGUACGUAAUAAUUCUAAUUAAAA